rnacentral:rRNA from 1 species
GACGAACGCUGGCGGCGUGCUUAACACAUGCAAGUCGAACGGGUCUGCCCUGUUUUUUGCGGGGUGGGUCAGUGGCGAACGGGUGAGUAACACGUGAGUAACCUGCCCCUCACUUCUGGAUAACCGCUUGAAAGGGUGGCUAAUACGGGGUGUUCUGGCUGUGCCGCAUGGUGUGGCUGGGAAAGAUUCACUUUUGUGGUGUUUUGGUGGGUGAUGGGCUCGCGGCCUAUCAGCUUGUUGGUGGGGUGAUGGCCUGCCAAGGCUUUGACGGGUAGCCGGCAUGGGAGGGUGGGCGGUCACACUGGGACUGAGAUACGGCCCAGACUCCGGCGGGAGGCAGCAGUGGGUGGUAUUGCACAAUGGGCGGAAGCAUGAUGCAGCGACGUCGCGGGAGGGAUGGAGGCCUUCGGGUUGUGAACCUCUUUCGCCGGUGAAGAAGGUCCUGCUCUUUGUGGGGGGGUUGACGGUAGCCGGGUUAUGAAGCGCCGGCUAACUACGUG